UCUUCUGAUCUCGGGGAGCGGGUGUACCCAAGUUUCUCUGGAAACCGGGACAGAACCCCAUAGCUUACCUUGAUCAGUGUAAACAGGAGUGGCAUGACAGAACUCACUGUCAUGGCCAGGGACAAAGUCAGAGAUAUUUUUUCAGACAAGCAAUCCUUGAUGGUGUCCCAACAGCUGUGAGUAAAGCCAUGAAGACAAACCCAGACCUUCCCACUGCUGAUGCAGGCCAGUGGGAACGUCAUCUUAUCCACCACUUGCAGGCUGCUGCAGAUGAUGAUGUUAAAAGCUCUGCAGAAUUAAAAGACAUGCAGGCUCAGCUACUUAAACUGCAACUUAAGCAGGCGAGAGAUGUGGUACAGGCCGCCAAAGGGCCAAAACAAUUA